AACGAACGCUGGCGGCAGGCUUAACACAUGCAAGUCGAGCGCCCCGCACGGGGAACGUCAGUUGGGUGAGUAACGAGUGGCGACCUACCUUUUGAUUCGUAACAACUCCGCGACACUCGAGCUAAUAACGGGUAAGCCCUCACGGGAAAAGAUUUAUCUCCGAAAGAUCGGCCCCCGACUGAUUAGCAAGUUGGUGUCGUAACGGCUCACCAAUGCGACGGUCAGUAGCUGGUCUGGGAGGAUGAACAGCCACACUGGGACUGAGACACGGCCCAGACUCCUACGGGAGGCAGCAGUGGGGAAUAUUGGACAAUGGGCGCGAGCCUGAGAAGGCCAUGCCGCGUGAGUGAUGAAGGUCUUAGGGUGGUAAAGCUCUUUUGUCCGGGAAGAUAAUGACUGUACCGGAAGAAUAAGCCCCGGCUAACUUCGUG
rnacentral:rRNA from 1 species